AGUGAACGCUGGCGGUAGGCCUAACACAUGCAAGUCGAACGGCAGCACAGUAAGAGCUUGCUCUUACGGGUGGCGAGUGGCGGACGGGUGAGGAAUACAUCGGCAUCUACUUUUUCGUGGGGGAUAACGUAGGGAAACUUACGCUAAUACCGCAUACGACCUACGGGUGAAAGCAGGGGAUCUUCGGACCUUGCGCGAUUGAAUGAGCCGAUGUCGGAUUAGCUAGUUGGCGGGGUAAAGGCCCACCAAGGCGACGAUCCGUAGCUGGUCUGAGAGGAUGAUCAGCCACACUGGAACUGAGACACGGUCCAGACUCCUACGGGAGGCAGCAGUGGGGAAUAUUGGACAAUGGGCGCAAGCCUGAUCCAGCCAUACCGCGUGGGGGAAGAAGGCCUUCGGGUUGUAAAGCUCUUUUGUUGGGAAAGAAAAGCAGCAGGUGAAUACCCCGCUGUUCUGACGGUACCCAAAGAAUAAGCACCGGCUAACUUCGUG
rnacentral:rRNA from 1 species